AAAAAUCUCUUAUUGCAAGAUAAUCAGAGGUAAUUUAUGCAUUUAGUGCCGGUGUAAUUAAAAUUUUCACAUUAAAAAAACUUUUGCAGCCCAAUUAACAUACAGCUCCUCCCUUUCCAACUAAAUCAGUUUCUUCUACUGUAAACAGACUUAACUUUCUUAAUAUAUCAUUUCCUCUGCUACCAUCAUAGCUACUGAUCAGUGGCCAAGACGUGACAUGGAAAGAGCUCCAAGAUGAGUUUUAGCAAGCUGAGGAGAAGCACAAGACCAUAUAUGGAAGCACUGCUGAGUUCCAGCAGAAGGCCUUCUCAGAAAGAAGGGAAAGCCUGGAUCUCAACCCUACUCACUGCCCAAGAGGAUAUAUUUUCACAUGAUCUCAUAUUACGAAGAAAUUUGAACAUUGCUUGACUCUCCUGCAUGUCUGCCACCAGAAAGUACUUCAGAAGAGCAUGCUACCUGCUUCACGUGGCUCCAAACAAGUGGCAAAGGAACUCUUUACAGAAAGAAUAAGAUAUUCCACAGCAGCCUAAGGUGUCUUCUGACAUUUGUGUGGCAGGCCGCAAAGGUAUAUCAUUCAUCACCAGUGCACAUGGGACAGACCCUCCUCAGUUCCUGGUAUCCUAAGAGCAAUAAAAGAAGCAUGGAGUAUGAAAAGGCAGCAUUCCUAUGUGCAUGCUAUAACACUCGGCUCUCCCCAGGUGACUCAAAUGUUAGCUGUCUACCUGGAAUAAAGCAUUCAGGCAGGCUUGUAGAAAAUAUGGAAAAGGGUAAUAGAACCUGGAAUUAUCUUUCCUUUAGCUUAAAAUUAUGUUAAGAUACUCAAAUGAAAUUCUUAGUACUGUUAUUUCUGAUACAAAAGGUAAAAAUAGUAAAAAGGCUUUAAAAAGAAAAAAAUUACUUCACAUAAUGGUAGGUAGCACAAUCUGGGUUUCCUUGGCACAAAAUCAGAGAAUGGUGGUCUUGGUGCUGAGUGGCAUUGAGAGCUUACAUAAGAGAAUCUUACAAGUCAAAACAAAGGGUUUUCUACCAGAGUGCCACGUAGUUUCUGACUUUUCCCACCCAGGUAAAUAAAGUUGUUUUAUAGUGCAAUAUUGAUGAUGUCUCUUUGAGAAACUUCAAAUAGAUUUCUUGGAUCACACGUCCUUCACAGUGUAGAGCUUUGUUCAGAAAAUGUGCCUGUAGCUUAUCUUUUGUCAUAUUUGUCAGAUACUUCUUGCUAUUUUGGUUUCUACGUCAAGCUUAAAGUUACAAAUGUUAUGGACACUUUUUCUUAGAGUAUACCACCUCCUUCACUCGACUUUAAACCAGCAAGCAAAGGAGAUCUUUAGGAAGAAUACAAGGUAUUUUCCAAUCUAUAUAAACUGUGCAUAUGGACUUGAAUAAUAGCUCUUAUUACUCAAAUUGUAUCAUGGAUUCUUGGCAUGGCUUGUGGGAUCUUAGUUCCCCCAAUCAGGGAUUGAACCUGGGCCUUGGACAGUGAAAGUGUGGAGUCCUAACCACUGGACUACCAGGGAAUUCCCACAAAUUGUAUCACUGUUAAUAGAGGCUCAUGGGCACUACUUUCUUCGACAAUGUGUCAGAUGAGUGCUUAUUUUUCAGGUACCCUUUAGAUAUUCUAGAGCUUAUUUCUUCUUCUUUUUUUUUUUUUAGAGCUUAUAUCUUCAUGUUCAAUACUCUCGAAGCCCCUCCCAGAGACUUCCUUCUCCCAGAGGCAGGGUUUGACCUCCUGAUGUUUAUUUGGUUAACAUCUCCUUGACUGUGAAUAGUGAUUAAGGAGGUUGCAAUGUAAAGACAGUGAAUCAAUCAUCUUCAUCUUUGACCAUAUCUAUUAGCCUUAAGAAUGAGCCUAAUAGGUUGGUCUCAGUUACGACCUGUGAACAAGCACAGAAAAUAAGCAUAGAAUCAGUCACCAAGAGAAAAAUAAAUUGUCCAUAGGGUCAGAUAUUCAAACUGACUGAAAAACAGAACUAAUGAAGUCAUACUCUCCACUCGAAUUGGAUUAGGUUGUAUGGAACUUCAUACAUGGGCAAGUGGCAUAGACAUGUUGCAGUAAAAAUUCUGAACACUGAGACCUAAAGCCAGAGGUGUUCCAGAAGUCCUGAGUAAACCCUACCAUGAACAUUUUGUUCCUCAGUCUGAUAAGUUUGUUACAGUGAUGUGAAGGCAGAAGUCUCAACAAACAUCUGUAUAUAAAAGGUCCCAAGUUUCACAUGUGCCUGCUAAUCAACACCACUUGUCAGAUGGUUCAGGAAAUAGGCUAUUUCAAUGCAGACUAUCAUUUACGGAGGCACAGAAGUCAACAAUAUAUUUCCCUAUAAAUGUCUCAUGUGGAAAACUGGCAAUUCUGGCUGUGGAACAGGGAGAUGAUGGGAUCUUGCCGGAAUUAUUCUCAGCAGGCAGAAUGGCCUAUUUGCUUUGUUUUCUGAAUGGCCCCAGAGAGGAUCCUAAUUGGGAGGCCAUGCACCGAUUUGUUCCAGUUUCUCAUUUAUUUCUCUGGCAUUGUUUUUAUAUAAGUUUAUUCCAUAGAAGCAGCUUCUCUCACACAUCAGCCAAGAUCAGAUAAUCAUGUUGGGCCAAAGGCAAGAAAGUAGUCAGUUAUACUAAAACAGCCUCAAAGUAAUUUAGAAGUUUACAUCAGAUUAUGUUAAGAAAGUUAAAAACAGUCUCAGGCCUCCGAGAUUGUUCCAUUAAGCUAUAUAAUACCCUUUACUAAGAAGCCAACCACAGUGCUUCUGAGGCAUCACUGAACUGAGAUGCCCUCACUGAAGGUUUAGUGUGCACACUUGUAGACGAUCCCUCCUCCUCAUAAGGUGCACAUGUAGCUACUUGCAGGCUGCUAGGGGAGUAAGAGAGGGUAUCAGAGACACCACCCCUCUGCUCCUUCUCUAUAGGAUCAAGAUUUUGCAUAAGAAUACUUAUAGAUCAUUUCUAGAAUACUCAUAGGUCCAUAUUUUUACCUUGCUUUUCUACCUUUUGUACCUAUGGAAUAGAGAAGCCAUUUGCAAUGCUGGUUUGUUUUGUCUCUUUCCCUGUCCAUGAUGCAAGCCUGCUCCAAAUCUACAAAUUAAUGCUAAUGGGUCAUAUACCAAAUGAUGUUCAUCUACUAACUAAAUGGAUAUUUUCAGGAGGUGGGGUGGAAACAAGGAAAUCACUUGGAGAGAGAGUUAAGAAGACUUUCUAAGUACAACUGACAGCCCAUCCAGCCUCCUGGUGGAGCGAUACAUUUUGGAAACCAGACGCUUUUAGGGAUGCUUAUCACAGAAAGUCCUUUAUGUCAAGGAAAUAAGACCUAGGCACCAAAAAGGAAGUUUCUCACAGUAUAUACCAGACAAGUUCAGUCUGUCCAAUCUUGGGUGGUAUUCCAGGGAAACUAACUGACUUGUCUCAGUCUCCAUCUGUUCAGAUGCUGAGGAGAGUGGGAAACAUUAGGAUAUUUCACAUACAUGGAAUCAUGCAAUAUAUGACUUUUUUUGUCUAACUUCUUUCAUUUAGCAUAAUGUUUUUCAAGUUCAUGUGGUAGCAUGUUCAGCACUUCAUCUGCUUUUAUGACUAGC